rnacentral:lncRNA from 1 species
UCACUCUCUGCUGAUAUAACUGACCAUGACACAUGGCAGUUGAUCUCUUCCUUCUUUCAGCCGGAUUCAGCAUCAGUCAACUUGGGACUUUGAGGGUGCUAUUUCUCUUUUGUUUUUUUCUUUCUUUUUCUUUCUUUUGAUUUACUGACCAUGACACAUGGCAGUUGAUCUCUUCCUUCUUUCAGCCGGAUUCAGCAUCAGUCAACUUGGGACUUUGAGGGUGCUAUUUCUCUUUUGUUUUUUUCUUUCUUUUUCUUUCUUUUGAUUUCUCUUGAUUUCUUUUGAUUU